GCAUCUGAAAAUGGAAUGGAGAAUUUCAGGCAGUGACCUAAUGUAUUGCUACCCAAGAUAAAACGACAGAUUCCAAAUACAGGAGUAUAUUAGGCUGAAGGCCUUUUCUGUAUAGGGUAAAUCAGACAAAUAGUUUGUGAAGCUUCAUCUGAGUCUUCUAUUUCAAGGUUACCUUUUCUUCUAAGAUAUUCAUUUCCUUUCUUGUUCUUAAAAUUGGUUUGAACUUCACUUACCAAUGGAUCUUUCCAGGUCACCCUGAGUUGUGGGGAAUGGGAUGGGGUCACGUAAACAAAAUUACAGUAAGCAAAACCACCUUGCAUGAUCCCUUCCAGGUACUCGGAGUUGACAGCUUUAUGACAUCUUGUGAAUGUAAUGGAGUCCUGAAUUAUUUCACUGCUUCUUUAGAGAACGGUGUGGACAAAGAGGUCCUUCCUCUGUCGGACACCCCAUCACUGCCUCCUAAGCCUCCACUUUCUUACCUGCUGGAUCAUCUCUGGAUGCUGCUGCAUGAUGUGCAGAAAGCGGUCGCUCUCCUGGUUCAGGGGUGUGGUCCUCUUCUUGGUGCUACGUGACAGCUGCUUGAAGAGGUAUGUCACAAUGUGGUCCAGGCAGGAGCAGCAGCCUGUGCAUACCAUGGUGUCUGCAAGAAAGAAAGGCAGGGGUAGGACAGAGCUGCUGAUGGUGGCCUGGACAAAUAUGGACUAUCUUUGGGUGAGAUCCAUUAGGGUACCGUGGCCAAUUCAACCAAGGCGGUUGCUCAAGAUGACUCCUGUUAACCUCUUACCCUCAUUGUACAGUAGGGCUCAAUUUCUAAGUUUGAAAGUGAGUAUGUGGUAAUAAAGAAUACUGAAAUUAUUGG